CACCGCGGUUAUACGAACAGCCCAAGUUGACAGACGACGGCGUAAAGAGUGGUUAGGGAUACACAAAAACUAAAGCCGAAAGCCCUCAAGGCUGCAAUACGCCACCUCGAGGACAUGAAGACCAAUUACGAAAGUGGCUUUACUGCACCUGACCCCACGAAAGCUGAGGUA
rnacentral:rRNA from 1 species